rnacentral:rRNA from 1 species
UACGAAGGGGGCUAGCGUUGCUCGGAAUCACUGGGCGUAAAGGGUGCGUAGGCGGGUCUUUAAGUCAGGGGUGAAAUCCUGGAGCUCAACUCCAGAACUGCCUUUGAUACUGAAGAUCUUGAGUUCGGGAGAGGUGAGUGGAACUGCGAGUGUAGAGGUGAAAUUCGUAGAUAUUCGCAAGAACACCCGUGGCGAAGGCGGCCACCUGGGCCGACCCUGACGCUGAGGCGCGAAGGCGUGGGGAGCGAACGGG